GCUCACAUAGCACAGCGGUAGUGCACUUCCUUGGUAAGGAAGAGGUCACUGGUUCGAUUCCAGUUGUGAGCACCA
rnacentral:tRNA from 1 species